AGCGGACAGAUGGGAGCUUGCUCCCUGAAGUCAGCGGCGGACGGGUGAGUAACACGUGGGCAACCUGCCUGUAAGACUGGGAUAACUCCGGGAAACCGGGGCUAAUACCGGAUAAUUCUUUCCCUCACAUGAGGGAAAGCUGAAAGAUGGUUUCGGCUAUCACUUACAGAUGGGCCCGCGGCGCAUUAGCUAGUUGGUGAGGUAACGGCUCACCAAGGCAACGAUGCGUAGCCGACCUGAGAGGGUGAUCGGCCACACUGGGACUGANACNCGGCCCANACUCCUACGGGAGGCAGCAGUAGGGAAUCUUCCGCAAUGGACGAAAGUCUGACGGAGCANCGCCGCGNGAGUGAUGAAGGUUUUCGGAUCGUAAAACUCUGUUGUUAGGGAAGAACAAGUACCGGAGUAACUGCCGGUACCUUGACGGUACCUAACCAGAAAGCCACGGCUAACUACGUGCCAGCANCCGCGGUAAUACGUAGGUGGCAAGCGUUGUCCGGAAUUAUUGGGCGUAAAGCGCGCGCAGGCGGUUCCUUAAGUCUGAUGUGAAAGCCCCCGGCUCANCCGGGGAGGGUCAUUGGAAACUGGGGAACUUGAGUGCAGAANAGAAGAGUGGAAUUCCACG
rnacentral:rRNA from 1 species